GAUGUUGACGCAGGUGACGGGGAGGGGAUAGGAGAGAGUUGAUAUAAAAUGCAAUUACAGGCUCUUAUGCUUUCCAAAGUGGGGGAUGAUUCAAUGAU
ensembl:miRNA